rnacentral:lncRNA from 1 species
UUACAGAAGUUCAAUGUUUGCUCUGAGAAGUUAAAUUAACAAAAUUUAUUAAAUGAUAAAGUUGUAUCCUUGAAAGAUAUACUGGUAUUAUUGGCACAAUGGGCAAGCAUUGAAGUGCAACUUGGUGAACUACAAAAUACAUCAAAUUCAGUUAUAAAAAUUUGAGUAUCAAAGGUAUGCUAAUUAUUGUAUUGCCUGAAGGAGUGUCAUUGCCAUUAAAAGCAGUGAAGAAUUCAAGUACUCUGGAAUAAAAAAGACAAGAAAACACUUCAGUAAAUGGCUGUGUAUUUUUGCAAGUUAAUUAUUUGGCACAAAUUGUAGUUAAAGACGAAGGAGAUUGUAUUUGUUAUUUACUAAGAAUAGUUUAUUAAAAUGGCCUAGCUGUAAAAUUAAAUUAUGGAGAGGAUAAAAAAUUGGAAUAGGAAAAAUGUUGAUUGCAUAUGCUGCUAUUGGUAAGUGGUUUAGAAAAGUUUAUUUUUUCAGUUUCAAUUUUGUAUUACAGAAUUACUUGCAAUUUGUUAUGUUUCUUUGGUGCAUAAUUAAA